CUUUGAUGUCCAUUCAAUGUUUCAUUCACCACUCUUGCUUUUCCCUUUCCAAGUACCAUAAAAACGACGUUCGAGGACGAGUUGAUCACUGGAAAUGUCAUGGUGAUUCGUCGUGGUGGUGGUUUUGGUGAGUCUGUAAUGCUAGAUUUUAUGCCACCCAAGCAAGGAAGUACCUAAAUGUUGUUCACUCGCCAAGGAAAGAGAACUCCUACAAGUAGUUUACAGCACAAGGCAGUAUUGACAGUUUGAGAUCAUAGAAGAACUGGAAAAAGCUGAUUAUGAAUUGGCAAGGACUUGUCGUAAACGACCACGCCAACAACAUUGCAUACGAUCUGCGAGAAUUGAUGACACCUCGAGUGUCAUAUGCUGCACAGGAUCAGCUGGAAUACUGCAAGCUGCGUGUUGCAUAGAAUUGUAUGUGCAGUACACCCUUGAGUGUCAAGCUAUUGAUUAGAAAAUUUUGAGCCUGAAAAGAGGUUAGGUGGUGGUCUCCGAAAGAAAAGUGGUGAAAAGUAAAACUGCCUCCUGCAGAUGACAAGAACGGAGAUCUUCAGGGAUAGGGGCAGCAGCUAUAGUGUCAAAGCAGCUCAACUGAGUCUCACGUGUUGAAUCAGCUCCACUAUCGGACACAAGCAAACUGCAUAUCUCUUCUGACAUCUUUGAAUAGGCCACUCUAUAGAAAAACAAAUUUUCUGCAUUAGAGAUUUAAUUUCUUGUUGUGCAACACGAGACUAAUGAAAACAAGAUAUGGAGUACCAUUACUUUGCCUUUGUAGCAGUUCAAUACAUGUUUAAAUAUAUAUGCAUAAUAGAGGAAAUAAUUAAUAACAUAAAAUAUUAAAUAAUCCAGAGAAUGACAAAUCAACAAAUCUAAAAAUGCAUACCUCGCGUCUACGGGUAGUCUGCUUCCCAGUACUUCUAGAGACUUGUUUAGGCAAUCAAAGAAUUCCCUGCAAGCUGCUUCUUUACUCUCAAGAGUUUCCUACAGAAAUUAAUACGCAAUUAACCACAUUAGUCCUAGAAAAAUCUGCAAGGACAAGAUUAUAUUGCAACAAAGGAACAUUCAAAUUCUUUUUUUAACAAGACCUACAGCUCUCCUAGGUCAUGCUUGGCUUUUGGACUAGGCUACUAGCUAUAUGCUACUGAUUAUCAAUUACAGAUAACAAAGGCUUCAUAUACAUUGCAAAACAUAAAGUUUCGGAGAAAGAGAUUCAUAAGAGCGAGAAUGAUGAGAACUGGAAUAAACAAGAUUGGACAAAAGUCUGCCCCAUAUCAUAAUAUUCAUUUCACUCUCACCUGAGACACAUUAUUAUUUUCUAUUGACUACUUGUUUUGUUUUCUUCUCUAUAUACCCAAAAUACAAUUUCACAUGCUGACCAUUUCCUCAUGUGAAGGAACAAAGAGUCACAUACGAAGCAAAUCUGAUGGAUUUGUUAAUGUACGGAUCAAAGGUUAUCGUACAAGUUAACUUUAUGAUAUGCUUAUUUCAGCAACUUGCUUUUCGCUUUCGUCCUGUUGUUUAACUUGGUUGAAAUCAUCCCUUGAUGUGGUAUAACAGCAUUACAUCGCUACGGUGUUCAUGGAAAUGAAGCUUCAACUAACCACCAACCAUGUACCACCCUGUAAUUGCCACUGGUCCUUUGUCGAGCUGAGUGCUUAAUGGGUCCCCUAUGGGAAUGUGGUUUGGUGUGCCUACAAUAGGGUGAGCACUCAUGACUGUUAGGGUCCUGGCAAGGCCAAAAGCACCAUUGAUGACAUGAUCAAUCUUAGAAAUAAAGUGCGGAGUGUUGAGAAAUUCCAAGAAGCAAUGGUACUCAAGAGGACUAGCAUUGUGGCAUUGUGGGACGAAGUUGCAGUUGGCUUAAGAGAGCUGGUGACACAAGUGGUGUGCCAAACAUCGGGAAGCCACAAGAAGCAUGCCUAAGAGAGCUGCAUGAGGGAGUUUCUACAUAUGUUUUGGUGCACGUCAUAGGGUACUUGCUUCUUCAACCCUAAUGUUUGGAGCUUGUUACAUAAUGAGGUCAGACUAGCCUGGUCCCGCUGCCGCAUAGACCGUUCUACAUGCCUUAUAUACUUCCUUUGGUUUGGCUUUUAGUUACUCUGAAACAAGCACUACAAAAGUAAUUACCAUGUUUCUUGAACCCAUGAGACACGGGUCACAGACUCCCGGUAACAAAACAUGACAGGCCACUCAAACUUUGGUUUAUGGGGAUUAUCCCCCAGUCUGCAGUUCAUGCUACAUAGAAACUUGAGCACCAUAUGAUUUGAGGUCAUCAACAGGCUCAAUACAGAGUGUAAUCAGGGCAGAAAGACACUACCAUCAUGAAUCAUCUUGUUAAUACUGGACACCAAGAAACAACCGCCAAAGAAAUGCAAAAACCACGUCGAUUAAAAACUAUUCUGGCCAAGAUGCUUGGGUUAGUUGAGCAAUAAUUAGGCAUGAUAUCAAUCCCUCUUCCCAAGACUAAAUAUGAUAAGGAACUUCUACAGAUUUUCGAUGAAUACUGUAAAAAAAAGUUGAGCUCAGAAUAUGAUCCGGCUUCUACACAGCAUAAACAUAAAGCUAAUAUACUAACCAGUUUGUUUAUAUCACUGUCAUCCCCCUGCAGAGAGCUUCUUAACAAAUAAAAUGAGAUAUAAAUUCCACCUCCCAAGUCCCAGUCUUCAAUCUCCGACUUGUGAUCCUCCAAUGAAGUUGCCAACCUCCAUAUCUCAGAGUCUUCGGCUG